CUAGAAGCAUCUUAACCCAAGGCCAAUUUCUCAUGUAAAAGGGGAAAGAGUUUUGUGAAACCUUUACCCACAAGCAUAAUGAGUCUUAAACUCAGUAUUUUACCUCCAAAAAUACUACUGGGAAGAAAUAGAAAUGAAUUUGGACAAAUUCAUGAAUAACAUGGUUAGAAAAAGCUUUUCAGAAGGAACAGCCAGAAUUCCUACCGUGUAAGUCGUUUCCUGGAAACCAUGCUCUGGAUCCUCCCAUUGGUGUUGGAAGAUCAACUACAGCUUCAAGGCACCAAGCAGAUCAUGAAAUAAUCAGGAGCCAGAGGGGUAAAUUAUGUACCCUGAGAUUCUGAUUUACUAAAAACAAAGUAUCAAAUUUUUGACUAAUUCUAAUUUCUAAGGAAAACUAUCUCAACAACUAUAAUUUCCCAGUUACUUGAAUCUUCAACUUGCUACUAUGAUUAGAUGUCUGGUUCAGACAUCCUUGGUAAUAAAUGAAAUUCUUUAUGUUUCA
rnacentral:lncRNA from 10 species